rnacentral:lncRNA from 1 species
GUCUCCAUAGCCCUGCUGGAGGAAAAGGAGGUCUCCAGGGAAUUCAGGGGACUCCAGCCCCACAGGAGCCCACCCAAGAAGGACACAGCCAUGCAGGAGACACGUAUAUAGUGACGCCACUAUCCAAAGACAUCUUCAAUGAUGCAGCAUCAUUAAUUCAAUGUUUUCUUUUUUUAAAAAAACUUUUGAGUCAACGUAACUUUUUCCCUGACUGUUUUGUUCCUUGAUGUUCUUGCCUUUACCUGGUGUCAAAACCCAUCUGUGAGCACAGUUAGAUAAGGCUUCUCAUUGUUCUCAGGGUGCAUAAAAUCCCUCUCCCUCCCUUCCUUCUCUCCCUCUCCCUGUGCCUUUCUCUGGCUCUCUCUUUUUCUGCCUACCUCAUCUCUACCCUUCCUCCUUCCAGAAGCUUUCAAAUACAAAUUGAGAAAGAAGAAAACUCCCCAAAUAAAACUAUACAAGCAAAUCC